GCUGUGCUCGUUUCGGCAGCACGUCCUAAAAGUGGAACAAUACAGAGAAGAUUAGCAUGGCUCCUCCGCAAGGAUGACAUGUAAAUUCGCAAAGCGUUCCAUGUUUUU